rnacentral:lncRNA from 1 species
AGCAAUCAGCGAGACUCCGUGGGUGUAGGACCCUCCGAGCCAGGUGCGGGAUGUAAUCUCGUGGUGCACCGUUUUUCUUAAGCCGGUCCGAAAAGCGCAAUAUUCGGGUGGGAGUGACCCUAUUUUCCAGAGAUGAGGUCUCACAAUAUUGCCCAGGCUGGUCUCAAGUCCCUGGACUCAAGUGACCCUCCUGCGUUGACCUCCCAAAGUGCUGUUAUUACAAGCAUGAGCCACGGUGCCCAGCCACCACCAGCCUCCUUUCACAGAGACUGAAUUUCAAUCAGCUGCUAUCAGUUGACAAUGAUAAAAUUAUCUCUAUAUGAGCAAAUGCGUGCUCUUUGUCAAAAAAGAAAGCUUCAGCUUCAUGUUCCAGGGACGGUCAAGUUGGUAUCCAUCGUGAAGCUAAAUGAAUAUCUGGACAGGAGUCAGACAAAGGGAAGGAGAAUCCAGGGGAAGAUGAAGCAGCUGCAGGCCUGUCUGCUACCCUAUAUCCGGGGAAGAGCCAGAAAUUGCUGACCAUAGAGAGUUACAUUGUCCAGCUUUUCCUCCA